AGGAUAAAGCAAGAAAAGCUACAAGUAUUCAGCCAAAACUCGCCACGGAAGCUGAACAGAUGAUAAAUCAAAUGAAAGAAUUACAGUCUCAGAUAAAUAUGUUGCAGAUGGAGAUCAGUAUGAAAGAAAGCAGAAUUAAUGCUAUGCAAGGAGAGACUGAAUCCCUGCACAGACACCUGCAAAAUCUCUCAGAUUCAAAUAUGCAAGAGAAACGAUUACUACUGGAGGAUAUCACUCAGUUGAAGAAACUAUCAGAAA